GAGUCACACAGUUUUAUUUCUAAUCAAGCACACAUGCCUCUAGGGGAAUCAUAACUUUUAGGCCAGCUUUGGAUGUAUAGUGAGACUCAGAAACAAAACAAACCCACCAACCAUAAGACCCCCUUGUGCUUAGAUUGAGAUGGCUUCCUUCAUCCUGGUUUCUCCUCAAGGAUCCUUCAGAGAGUGGGGUUUCCAUCAAUGUCUCUGAACCCACAAUGCUGAGAUUUCCCUGACUCACACUCUGUGCUAUCAUCUUGCUGGUUGGUUGUUGUUGUUUUUAAGAGAACAACUCAUUAGAUAUGCAUCCCUGGCUGCCCUGGAACUUUAUACAGGCCAGGCUGGUUUCAAAUUCACUGAGAUCUGCCUGUUUCUGCCUUCUGAGUGCUGGGAUCAUAUAUGAACCACCACUCCCAGAUUUGUCUUGAAUUUUUUUUUUUUACAGAAUGAUCUAUGACCUGUGUACUAUGCAAAGAACAGAUAUUGGGGGGGGGGGGAGCAGGGGGAGCUAACAGUCUUCUCUGUAUUUUAAGUCCUGUUUGUGUUGAGUUAAAACAUCUAUACUAAUGGGUAGACACAAAAGAAAUCUGAUAGGCCAGUUGUGGUGGCUCAUGUCUUUGAUCCCAGUACUUGGGAGGCAGAAGCAGGCAGGUCUCUGUGAGUUGGAGGCCAGCCUGGUCUACAAAGUGAGUACAGGAUAGCCAGGGCUUUUACACAGAGAAACCCUGUCUCAACAAAACAGAAGAAAACAAAACAAAACAACAAGCAAACAAAGCAAAACAAAAUAAGAAAACAAAACAAUAAAACAACAAAACAAACAAAAUGGAGUGGGGGAUCCCUGAUUCUAUUUAAAAAGACAGAAACUUAAAGUGUCUGUAAAAGAGUGCACAGUGUUGACAGGAAUCGAGCUGAAUAGAAU
rnacentral:lncRNA from 1 species